AGAGUUUGAUCAUGGCUCAGAACGAACGCUGGCGGCAGGCUUAACACAUGCAAGUCGAACGCAUCCUUCGGGGUGAGUGGCAGACGGGUGAGUAACGCGUGGGAACAUGCCCUUCAGUUCGGAAUAACCCAGGGAAACUUGGGCUAAUACCGGAUACGUGCGAGAGCAGAAAGAUUGAUCGCUGAAGGAGUGGCCCGCGUCUGAUUAGCUAGUUGGUGAGGUAAAGGCUCACCAAGGCGACGAUCAGUAGCUGGUCUGAGAGGAUGAUCAGCCACACUGGGACUGAGACACGGCCCAGACUCCUACGGGAGGCAGCAGUGGGGAAUAUUGGACAAUGGGCGCAAGCCUGAUCCAGCCAUGCCGCGUGAGUGAUGAAGGCCUUAGGGUUGUAAAGCUCUUUCGGCGGGGACGAUAAUGACGGUACCCGCAGAAGAAGCCCCGGCUNNCUUCGUGCCAGCAGCCGCGGUAAUACGAAGGGGGCUAGCGUUGUUCGGAAUCACUGGGCGUAAAGGGCGCGUAGGCGGCCGAUCAAGUCGGGGGUGAAACCUGUGGCUUAACCACAGAAUGGCCUUCGAUACUGUUUGGCUUGAGACCGGAAGAGGUUAGUGGAACUGCGAGUGUAGAGGUGAAAUUCGUAGAUAUUCGCAAGAACACCAGUGGCGAAGGCGGCUGACUGGUCCGGUUCUGACGCUGAGGGCGAAAGCGUGGGGAGCAAACAGGAUUAGAUACCCUAGUAGUCC
rnacentral:rRNA from 1 species